GUUCACAGUCGUUGCACCAGACAAGGUGGUUGGGUAGAAUUGAAAUGGCGUGUCUGGGGCUCCUUGUCCUUUUGGCAGCCUUCUCCGGUGUCAGGUCCCAGAUCCAGCUGACCCAGUCUGGGGCAGAAAUCAAGAAGCCUGGAGAGUCUGUGAAGGUGACAUGUAAAACCUCCGGCUACACCUUUACCAGCUAUUACAUGAGCUGGGUACGGCAGGCUCCCGGGAAAGGACUGGAGUGGAUAGGAUACAUCUAUCCCGGUGAUGGUGAAACUGGCUAUGCCCAGGCCUUCCAGGGGCGAUUCACCAUCACCAGGGACACCUCCAUGAGCACGGCCUAUCUACAGCUGGGCAGCCUGAGAACCGACGACACAGCCAGGUAUUACUGUGCUCGGGACACAGUGACACAAACCACAUCUGGACCAAUUCAAAAACCCUCCAGUGAGAGAACCCGGGUCUCCUGCGAACACUGCAGCCCUCAGCCACCCCGGAUAACGGUGACCCCUGUGAACAGACUCUGGGUAAUUAUCCCCUAGUGACUUAGGAGCAGUGAAAGCUAAUGGGAUUUAGAACCUUAAGUGCCUAAAUCACUUUUCAAGCUAGGACUCUGUUCCCGGGACACAGUCAACAUUAGCCGGAGGAGAAGGGGACCAGAACAAUCACAGCCCUUGGAGAAGCUGGGUGUGCCAGGAAGCGUGUGUCUGCCUCAGGAUGGGAGCCAUUACCGGGGCGUUGACCCCCUGCCUUCGCCCGCAGCUCCCGGGAGGGAAGGGAGCCCCGGCUAUUAGACCCUGUUAGCGAACCUCGCUGGGAGUGAGAGGAGACUAAGGACCCCCCCAAAACAGGCGCCUUGA